UACGUAGGGGGCAAGCGUUGUCCGGAUUUACUGGGCGUAAAGGGCGCGUAGGCGGCUUGUCAAGUCACUUGUGAAAUCUCUGGGCUUAACCCAGAACGGCCAAGUGAAACUGACAUGCUAGAGUGCAGAAGGGGCAAUCGGAAUUCUUGGUGUAGCGGUGAAAUGCGUAGAUAUCAAGAGGAACACCUGAGGUGAAGACGGGUUGCUGGGCUGACACUGACGCUGAGGCGCGAAAGCCAGGGGAGCAAACGGG
rnacentral:rRNA from 1 species